rnacentral:rRNA from 1 species
UACGUGAGGGGCAAGCGUUGUCCGGAAUCAUUGGGCGUAAAGCGCACGUAGCGGAUUUGCCAGUCAGGGGUGAAAUCCCUGGGCUCAACCCAGGAACUGCAUUUGAAACUCCCUUUCUUGAGUGUCGGAGAGGAAAGUGGAAUUCCUGGUGUAGAGGUGAAAUUCGUAGAUAUCAGGAGGAACACCGGUGGCGAAGGCGGCUUUCUGGACGACAACUGACGCUGAGACGCGAAAGCGUGGGGAGCAAACAGG